rnacentral:rRNA from 1 species
CCUACGGGUGGCAGCAGUGAGGAAUAUUGGUCAAUGGACGAGAGUCUGAACCAGCCAAGUCGCGUGAAGGAUGAAUGCCCUAUGGAUUGUAAACUUCUUUUGUAUGGGAAUAAAAUGUGCCACGCGUGGGCUUUUGUAUGUACCUUAUGAAUAAGGAUCGGCUAACUCCGUGCCAGCAGCCGCGGUAAUACGGAGGAUGCGAGCGUUAUCCGGAUUUAUUGGGUUUAAAGGGUGCGUAGGUGGAUUGUUAAGUCAGUUGUGAAAGUUUGCGGCUCAACCGUAACAUUGCAGUUGAAACUGGCAGUCUUGAGUACAGUAGAGGUAGGCGGAAUUCGUGGUGUAGCGGUGAAAUGCUUAGAUAUCACGAAGAACUCCGGUUGCGAAGGCAGCACACUGGACUGCAACUGACACUGAGGCUCGAAAGUGUGGGUAUCAAACAGGAUUAGAUACCCCUGUAGUC